GAUGAACGCUGGCGGCGUGCCUAAUACAUGCAAGUCGAGCGAACGGACGAGAAGCUUGCUUCUCUGAUGUUAGCGGCGGACGGGUGAGUAACACGUGGAUAACCUACCUAUAAGACUGGGAUAACUUCGGGAAACCGGAGCUAAUACCGGAUAAUAUUUUGAACCGCAUGGUUCAAAAGUGAAAGACGGUCUUGCUGUCACUUAUAGAUGGAUCCGCGCUGCAUUAGCUAGUUGGUAAGGUAACGGCUUACCAAGGCAACGAUGCAUAGCCGACCUGAGAGGGUGAUCGGCCACACUGGAACUGAGACACGGCCCAGACUCCUACGGGAGGCAGCAGUAGGGAAUCUUCCGCAAUGGGCGAAAGCCUGACGGAGCAACGCCGCGUGAGUGAUGAAGGUCUUCGGAUCGUAAAACUCUGUUAUUAGGGAAGAACAUAUGUGUAAGUAACUGUGCACAUCUUGACGGUACCUAAUCAGAAAGCCACGGCUAACUACGU
rnacentral:rRNA from 1 species